rnacentral:misc_RNA from 1 species
UUGCGCAUUUCACGAUCGCCGGUGGUGAUUAUUCCAACGGUUAGCUACAAUGGGAGUUGAUUACUAUAACUUACUGAAAGUAUCUAGGAAUGCGAGUGAAGAAGAUUUGAAGAGAUCGUACAAGCGAUUAGCGAUGAAAUGGCAUCCAGAUAAGAAUAGUCAGAACAAUAAGGAAGCAGAAGCGAAAUUCAAGCAGAUUUCUGAGGCGUAUGAUGUGCUUAGUGAUCCUCAGAAGCGUCAGAUCUAUGAUUUGUACGGUGACGAUGCGUUGAAGUCUGGUCAAUUUGCUUCGGCAUCGCCGACUAGUGCUGGUAGUGGGACUGGUAAUGGUAGAGGGUUUAGAUUCAAUACGCGUGAUGCGGAGGAUAUUUUUGCUGAGUUUUUUGGUGGAUCGGAGGGGCUUAGUAGUGGUUCAGGUGCCGGAGUUGGUAGGAAAGCAGCGCCGGUGGAGAAUAAACUUCCGUGUAGCUUGGAAGAGCUUUACAAAGGAUCUAGAAGGAAAAUGAAGAUCUCAAGGAUUCUUCUGGAUGACUCUGGUAAGCCAACAACUGUUGAAGAGGUCUUAGCAAUACACAUCAAACCAGGUUGGAAGAAAGGCACAAAAAUAACUUUUCCAGAGAAAGGGGACUAUGAAUAUGGAGCUGCCCCGGGUGAUCUUAUUUUUGUGAUUGAUGAAAAGCCACAUGCUGUCUUCAAGAGGGAUGGAAAUGAUCUAGUCACGAAUCAGAAAAUAUCGUUACU